GACGAACGCUGGCGGCGUGCUUAACACAUGCAAGUCGAACGGAAAGGCCCUGCUUUUGUGGGGUGCUCGAGUGGCGAACGGGUGAGUAACACGUGAGUAACCUGCCCUUGACUUUGGGAUAACUUCAGGAAACUGGGGCUAAUACCGGAUAGGAGCUCCUGCUGCAUGGUGGGGGUUGGAAAGUUUCGGCGGUUGGGGAUGGACUCGCGGCUUAUCAGCUUGUUGGUGGGGUAGUGGCUUACCAAGGCUUUGACGGGUAGCCGGCCUGAGAGGGUGAACGGCCACAUUGGGACUGAGAUACGGACCAGACUCGUACGGGAGGCAGCAGUGGGGAGUAUUGCACAAUGGGCGGAAGCCUGAUGCAACAGCGCCGCGUGCGGGAUGACGGCCUUCGGGUUGUAAACCGCUUUCGCCUGUGACGAAGCGUGAGUGACGGUAAUGGGUAAAGAAGCACCGGCUAACUACGUG
rnacentral:rRNA from 1 species